GAGCCUAGGAGGCAGAGGUGGCAGUGAGCCGAGAUCACACCACUGCACUGCAGCCUGGGCGACAAAGAUCUUUUGUCAAAAAAAAAAAGUAUAUAACCAAGUCAAAGGAGAAUUUAUAAGGAAAUCAGAAAAUACCUUGAGGUGAAUGAAAAUACAGAAACAACAUAUCAAAUUCUGUGAGAUGUGUAAAAGCAAUGCUUACAGUGAAAUUAAUAGCUAUGAACAUUGUAAUGAAAUGAGAAGUACUUCAAAUUACUAACGUAACUUUCCAACUUUGGAAAAUACAGUAAAAAAAGAACAAAUUAAAAUCAAAGCAGAAAGGACAUAAAGUUUAGUGUGGAAAUAGAGAAUUAAAAAUAAUUGAGAAACAGCACUUCGUUGACUUAUUUAUAAAAUAAAGCUUUACGAAAAUGAGAAAUGUAAAAAGUGAUGUUCCUAAUGACCUUAUUCCAUACAAGGGAUUAAUAUUUUAACAAAUAUCUUUGUGGAAGUAGACAAAUUCCUAGAAAGACACUGACUACCACAACUCAUUCAAGAACAAAGUGAAGACAAUAAAUUGGUAAUUUAAAAACUCUCACCCCUGCCCCUGACACACAUGUAAAUCCCCAGUUCAAAUGGAUUCUUUUGUAUAUUAUACCAAACAUGAAAAUUACCAAUUCGAUAAAAAUGUUUUAAAAACUUGGAAGAGCAUGUAAUAUUUUUUACUGGUUCUAUGAUGCUAUUGUUAUCUAGAUACCAAAGUGAAACAUCAUACGCAGGGAAAACUGUGAUAAUAUCACUUAUGAGUGGAUCUGCGAAAUUUCCUAGUGAAUUUUGGCAAACCAAAUACAGUAACAUAUAAAUAGGAAUGUACACCAGUACCCAGUACAGUGUAUCCCUGGAAUGGAAUGUUAUUUCAUCAGCUGGAAAUGAUUAGUGCAACAGACUGAAGGAAGAAAACAACAUUGUCAUCUCAAUAGAUUAUGGACGGCUGGGAGUGGAGGCUCACGCCUGUAAUCCUAAUACUCCUACCAACAGUGUAUAAGCAUUCCUUUUUCUCUGUAACCUCACCAUAAUGUUUUUUGUUUGUUUUUGACUUUGUAAUAGCCAUGGGCUGGGCACAGUGACUCACGCCUGUAAUCCUAGCACUUUGGGAGGCUCAGGUGGGUGGAUCACUUGAGGUCAGGAGUUCGAGACCAGCCUGGCCAACAUGGUGAAACCCCAUCUCUACUAAAAAUACAAAAAUUACCUGUGCGUGGUGGCAGGCGCCUGUAAUCUCAGCUACUCGGGAGGCUGAGGCAGUAGAAUCACUUGAACCCAGGAGGUGGAGGUUGCAGUGAGCGGAGAUUGUGCCACUGCACUCUGGCCUGGCUGACACAGCAAGACUAUGU